UCAAACGGGUGGAGCCGCAUGAUCGCUCGGCCCGGGGCAUUCAGCCCGUCCGUCGUCGAGAGCCGCAAGAGCAGCGACGGCGGGUGCACUUGCUCCGGUGGCCGGGAGCCACGACCGGUUCUUUCUUCAGCAGGCAGUCUAGCGUCCAUGGGUCGGGCGGGCGUCCGAGUGCCGAUUCGUUCGGCCAGUGCGCUCCGAUCUGGACUAGAGAAACUCGCCUGGGGACCGAGGACGACGAUGGCCGGCGCUGUCCGGGAUGGCGGAAUGCGUCCCCCACCACAUGUCGAAAACCCUUUUCUGGGAUCAUGGGUGCUGGAAGGUCAACGCCACCCGGUGCAGUUCGUCAGCGAGUGUCGGUGGCAGAUUGGGUCGGUACUCCACCCGACCCGUCUUGAA
rnacentral:rRNA from 1 species